rnacentral:lncRNA from 1 species
GUUUUAUCCGGGGUUUCCGCUUUUGCGUCUUCGUCAUUUUUCUCUUGCUACCACCAUUUGAGAAGUGCCUUUCGCCUCCUGCCAUGAUUCUGAGGUCCUCCCAAGCUAUGGGGAACUGUAAAUACAAUUAAACCUCUUUUUCUUCCCAGUCUCCGGUAUGUCUUUAUCAGCAGCAUGUAAAGGGACUAAUCCAGAGAGCCCCACCUGGAAGACUCUAGGUUCUCAUCUUCAUGCCCCGAUGUAAGGAGAGUGGUCCUUCUGUACAUCAGGAGUCUGAAAUGCAUCUCACUGGGCUAAAAUCAAGAUCUGUGGCACAUGGAACCACAUGUGGGACAAGAGACUAAUAAAGAUGUGACCUACUCACAGAGGCUUCAGGUGUUUUGCGAAGUACAUUGGCUUUUAUUCAACGUGCAGUGGGACUCCAACUAAAGUGUUUCAGGAAGGCACGGCCCUUUUGUGAUCUCCUGGUUCUUGUAAAUCUCACUGUGGCUGAUGAGGUCUGGAUAGAUAAUCAUGAUGGUGGCUGAAGAGAGACAAUGGUGGUGCUAGGUUACCAGUGGCGUGGAGCUCAGAGCUAAUGCAGAGCAGCUGGAGCAGUGCUGAGUUUCAAAACGUGUUGGAAAAAAUAUUAUAUGAAUGAUGCUAUUUUUUUCACUGAAUCACAUCAAGAAGCACAUGAUGUUAAGCUGUCUCAUCAUUGGUGGUGUUAACUUGGAUCGCUUGAUUAAGGUGAUGCCUUUCAUAUUUAUAUACUACAAAGUUAGCCCUUUUUAAUCAAUAAGUAAUCUAUUCAGAGAUAAAUGAGAACUGCAUAAAUAUCUUGGUAACAAACAAGUUUUACCCAAUAUUGUUUUCCUCCAUUGAUGAUUCUUGCCUUAAUCAAUUAUUACCAUGACAGUAGCAAAAUAGUGAUAUUUUAGUUAUCAUUUCUUGUACAUGUAUUAGUUUUACAUAGUAAACAAAAGCGUUUCCUCCUCUCAUUUUCUCUUUCUCUCCCUUCUUUCCAUCCAUUCUUCCUUCCUUUCUAUUUCUGUCUGUCUCUGUCUCUGUCUCUGUGCCUCUCUGUCUCCUUUGCCCUUCUCAUUGUCCGUUUUUAUUUAUAUUUCUUAAUGUGUGGAUUCAUAAACUAUUCUUUUCAAUUGCAUUAUAAUCUGUUACUGUCAUUUUUUAUUGUACCAGAUUUAGCGAGUAUGAGCUAACAAUUUCUAAUUUUAAUCCAACAUUUUAAAUCACAUGGUCUUCUUCAUCUUCUCUGUUUACAUAUUCGUAUUUACUUCCUUUCACAAUCAUAAUCUUGCCUCCCUCCCCCAAAGGAAUAUAUUUUCUUCUAUGGGACACCAAAGAUAAUAGAUUUUAAUUUAGUUUUAGAGUUUUCCAAAAUGUUUGUUGAUUUAAUUUUAUUUUUGAUUAUGUAUUAAUUGAACAUGCUUCCAGUUUUCAAAAUUAUAUGAAAUGAUAUAUACAGAGAAUUGCCACUCAAUCUUCUCUUCUUCCCAUAUUAUUGUCACUUCUUGCCUGUGGUUAACCAAUUUCACUGGAUUCUGGUUAUCCUUGCGUUUAUUUUUUAAAAUAUGUAAGUUAUAUGUUAUUAUAUAUGUUUUUCCCUUAAAAUUUUUCCUGAUAAUCCAUAUCGGGCCAUAGAGAUCUCCUUUAUUACUUCCUGCAUAGUAAUCCAUUGUGUAUAUAUAUUAGGUUGGUGCAAAAGUCGUUGCAGUUUUUGCAAUUACUUUUAAUGGCAAAAACUGCAAUUACUUUUGCACCAACAUACAUCGUUUAGCCCGAGAACUACUCACUCUGGGUCUCCUCUCCACUGAGGGCUGCACACAUGCCGGGAUGACCUGCCUGUGGAAAGGAGCUACAACUUCAGGUCUCCUGAGAGCUGUAGGUAGGUUAGUUUUGCAUCGUUGAUUUAAGCAAUUUUCUAUGUAUGGGCGUUUACAUGGUAUCCAAUAAUUUGUUAUAUAACACAUAAUAUCCCAAUGCAUGAAGGCACAAAUAUGUAUUUUCUUGCUGUUGGUGGUGUAUGUUGGGGGUGAAUUCCUAAAGUGAUAUUGUUUGGUCAAAAGUUAAAUGUAUAUGUAGUUUUGGGUUACUAUUGGUAACUUUCCUUCCAUAGGAUUUGUACCAUUUUGCUUUCCCAUUAGCAAUGUGUAGGAAUGCCUGUUUCCCUGUAGCCUCCCCAACAGCUUGUGUUAUCAAGAUUUUGGAUAUUUAACAAACUUGAAGAGUCACCCAGAAUUGGACAGAUGACAAGACAACCGGACUGCAGGGAGGAGCUACCCAUUCAAGGUCUCCUCUCCAAUGAGGGUUGCAGAGAUGUUGGGGCAAUUUGCCUGCAGAUAGGAGCUACCCACUUGGGAUCUCCUCUCUGCCGAGGACUACACACUUGAUGGGAUGACCUGCUUGUGGAGAAGAGCUACCCACUGUGGGUCUCCUCUCAGCUGAGGGUUGCACAGAUGCCCAGACCACAUGCCUGUGGAAAGGGGAUACCCACUUUGGGUCUCCUGAGAGCUGUACUGCCACUCAAUAAAGCACUGCUUCACCUUGCUCACCCUCCAGUUGUCUGCAUACCUCAUUUUUCCUGGAUAUGGGACAAGAACUUGGGACCAGACAGACAAAUGGCAGGACUAAAAGAGCUGUAACACAAACAGGGCUGUAACCCCCACCCCAACACCACUGGCCACAUUGUGGGUGACGAGAAGGAAAGAAGUAGAGAAGAGCUGCAGUUCUUUGGGGAUUGCAAACCUAGGAGCUCCCUGAGCCAGGGCUGUGAAACCUUCUUUAGGGCUCUGCAUUUCCGGGCAUCAUCUCCAAGCUUCCAGGUGCCACCGCAUUCCCUGGUUCCUGAGGCAGAAGCUACUUGUGAUACACUUGGUCUAGCUACAGCCUUGCAGGGAGCCGGAGCCUGUGCCAGUGCCUGGAGCUGCCCACCCCACCACAGCCAGCGUGCCUGGCCGUGCGCGGUGGCCGGACCCCACUUUUGCUUCUUCACACACCCCUCACCACUCUGCGCUUGGCCCAACCUUGGCAGGCAUGGGAUCCGGGUGGUAGCGAAAGCCGAGUGCAGCCUGUCAGGCCCACUGGGUGGAACAGGCUCAGCAGGCCCAAGCAAAACUUGGGCAAAGGUGCCACUGGCCAUAGAGGUUGCUGGCUGGUGAAGCAACACCCUAAGGAACCUGGGAAACAUGUAUGGCUACAUUUAUAUUUUACACUCAGAAUUCUAAUUCAUUUGGAUUUUUUUUUUUUUCUGUGUAGAGGGAAAAGUGUGAAUCCAUUUUUAUCAUUAUCUAAAUGACUGUUCAGUUGUUCCAACAUGCUUUGAUAAAAUGUCCAUAUUUGUCUCUGUGAUUUGAAAUGACUACCUUUAUCGUGUAGUAAAUUUUACUAUGUUCUUGGCUGUUGUAUUUUCUAUUAUAUUCCACUGGUCUGUUAUUUCUUUACCAGUAUAAAUAACAUGGAUUCAAUUGCAGAAACUUUAUAGUAUGUUUUAAAAUCUGGUGGCACUAUUCCUUUCCUGUUGCUCUUAUUUUUAUGGGUUGUCCUACGUGUUCAUGCAUAUUAUUUUUCACAUGAACAACUCCACAAUAGUUGGAGAAAAAAAAUCUUCCUGGUAUUUUAUUAGAGUUGCAUUAAAUUUAUGCAUAAACUAAGAGAUAAGAGAGACAUAACAUCUUGUUGACAUUGACACAUCAUAAUCAAGAACAAGCAAUGUCAUUUCAUUUUUGCACAUCUUCCUUUUUGUCUUCCAGGAGAUGCUAAUCAUUUUCCUUAUAUAGUUUUUAAAUCGUCUUCCCUUAGUAUUACGUAGAUUGUCAUUAUUUUAAAGGCUAAUUCUGACAGCUUCAUUAUUUGGCAUCUUUGUAUUGUGCAUAUUUUUUCUUGAUUUUAGAUCAUUUGAUCUUGAGUCCUAGUGUGUUGGUUA